rnacentral:rRNA from 1 species
AGUGAACGCUGGCGGUAGGCCUAACACAUGCAAGUCGAACGGCAGCACAGUAAGAGCUUGCUCUUACGGGUGGCGAGUGGCGGACGGGUGAGGAAUACAUCGGAAUCUACUUUUUCGUGGGGGAUAACGUAGGGAAACUUACGCUAAUACCGCAUACGACCUACGGGUGAAAGCAGGGGAUCUUCGGACCUUGCGCGAUUGAAUGAGCCGAUGUCGGAUUAGCUAGUUGGCGGGGUAAAGGCCCACCAAGGCGACGAUCCGUAGCUGGUCUGAGAGGAUGAUCAGCCACACUGGAACUGAGACACGGUACAGACUCCUACGGGAGGCAGCAGUGGGGAAUAUUGGACAAUGGGCGCAAGCCUGAUCCAGCCAUACCGCGUGGGUGAAGAAGGCCUUCGGGUUGUAAAGCCCUUUUGUUGGGAAAGAAAAGCGGCAGGUUAAUACCCCGCUGUUCUGACGGUACCCAAAGAAUAAGCACCGGCUAACUUCGUG